CCUACGGGUGGCUGCAGUGAGGAAUAUUGGUCAAUGGGCGGGAGCCUGAUGCAGCGACGCCGCGUGAGUGAAGAAGUAUUUCGGUAUGUAAAGCUCUAUCAGCAGGGAAGAAAAUGACGGUACCUGACUAAGAAGCCCCGGCUAACUACGUGCCAGCAGACGCGGUAAUACGUAGGGGGCAAGCGUUAUCUGGAUUUACUGGGUGUAAAGGGAGCGUAGACGUGUAUGCAAGUCUGAAGUGAAAGCCCAAGGCUCAACCAUGGGACUGCUUUGGAAACUGUAAAACUGGAGUGCAGGAGAGGUAAGCGGAAGUCCUAGUGUAGCGGUGAAAUGCGUAGAUAUUAGGAGGAACACCAGUGGCGAAGGCGGCUUACUGGACUGUAACUGACGUUGAGGCUCGAAGGCGUGGGGAGCAAACAGGAUUAGAUACCCCAGUAGUC
rnacentral:rRNA from 1 species